rnacentral:rRNA from 1 species
AUUGAACGCUGGCGGAAUGCUUUACACAUGCAAGUCGAACGGCAGCACGGACUCCGGUCUGGUGGCGAGUGGCGAACGGGUGAGUAAUACAUCGGAACGUGCCCAGUCGUGGGGGAUCACGUAGCGAAAGCUACGCUAAUACCGCAUACGAUCUAAGGAUGAAAGCGGGGGAUCACAAGACCUCGCGCGAUUGGAGCGGCCGAUGGCAGAUUAGGUAGUUGGUGGGGUAAAGGCUCACCAAGCCGACGAUCUGUAGCUGGUCUGAGAGGACGACCAGCCACACUGGGACCGAGACACGGCCCAGACUCCUACGGGAGGCAGCAGUGGGGAAUUUUGGACAAUGGGCGCAAGCCUGAUCCAGCCAUUCCGCGUGCAGGAUGAAGGCCCUCGGGUUGUAAACUGCUUUUGUACGGAACGAAAAGGCUCUGGUUAAUACCCGGGGCUCAUGACGGUACCGUAAGAAUAAGCACCGGCUAACUACGUGCCAGCCGCCGCCGUAA